rnacentral:rRNA from 1 species
UACGUAGGGUCCGAGCGUUGUCCGGAAUUACUGGGCGUAAAGAGCUCGUAGGUGGUUUGUCGCGUUGUUCGUGAAAAUUCACAACUCAAUUGUGGGCGUGCGGGCGAUACGGGCAGACUGGAGUACUGCAGGGGAGACUGGAAUUCCUGGUGUAGCGGUGAAAUGCGCAGAUAUCAGGAGGAACACCGGUGGCGAAGGCGGGUCUCUGGGCCGAUACUGACGCUGAGGAGCGAAAGCGUGGGGAGCGAACAGG